rnacentral:rRNA from 1 species
AGCGUAGGCGGAUAGUUUAGUCAGAGGUGAAAGCCCAGGGCUCAACCUUGGAAAUGCCUUUGAUACUGGCGUAUCUUGAGUAUGGGAGGGGUAAGCGGAAUUCCGAGUGUAGAGGUGAAAUUCGUAGAUAUUCGGAAGAACACCGGUGGCGAAGGCGGCUUACUGGCCCAUUACUGACGCUGAGGCUCGAAAGCGUGGGGAGCAAACA